AUGUGCGUUCCAUGGAAGCCCUUAACUAUGUACUCCCUUCGUUCCUUUUUAGUUCGCAUAUACGAUUUGUCUAAAGUCAAGGCUUGCAAAGUUUGA
rnacentral:rRNA from 1 species